GGACGUGAGUGUCCCGAAGAACCGAUUUAAAAUUCAUGCAACCCAUAUGAGCUGACGAGACCAGCACCGCCAGAGGCGCUAGUGUAUUUUACUCAUAUUAUGGUAAAUUUAUUUGAAAGUGUUUGCUGUGAGUUUUGACAGAUGGAUCCAGCCACGGCGAAAUUUCAACUUCUUCUUCUAUUCGAAAAUGUAUUGACGUUUAAUUUUUUGCUGCAGGAGUGAAUGAAACAAAGCAACAGUGUUUUGAAAUUUGAUAUUCGCAAAAUUUUCGGAACUUAUAAAGUUUGCUUUUAUUUAAACACGUUUCCCUAAUUUAAUAGUUAAUAUCCAAAUACCUAUCUAUAGUUUAUAGUUAAACUAAAAAAAUCUCAUCGAAGGCACCCAAAAACCAUCUGCCUCUCAGUGACGAUCAAUGCCGUCCAGCCGCAAGUUCGACCAGUUCAUCGGAUUUUACACGUAACAUCGGAAGCAUUCUGAAGAUUAACGUCUGUAUCAUAUCAAAAUGGGAAAUUUGAAAUAACAAUGUCCGGACUUAUUGGGUCAUUUAGAACGAUGUGUCUGAUCAGCACCUCCUGUAGUUGGUCUGGCAUCGUCGUAGAAACAUCGUGUUCACAGAGAGAAGCUCAUAUGUGCCCCCUUGUUGAUUGAAAUAAUUCAUACGAUUUCUCGUGGAAAACAACGGGCGCUUUCUGAACCCCAAGAGAUAUUUUCCAGCACCUUCUGGAGAGCGACUACAUCGGUGAGCCGGUGAACACGACCCAAAAGAAAAAAUCGACAUUGUCCUCGUCGCCACCAUCGCCAAAUACCUUAAUGCGCUGCGCUUACUGGCAGACGAAAUUGAGUAUGCGGAGGAAUAUUUGGUGUGGAUGCAUCCUGGAAACAAUACUCGGAGGCAAUCCUGCAAACAACCAGUAGGAUACGUAUUUCGACCUCAACAGUAAGGCCGUCUUCAGUGUCUCGUACUUGACUCAACUUGGAAUUGAAUGGAAUUGUACGAACUCGUCUUAUGACAAGUAAAGACAUUCCACUAAAAUCUCAGAAUAAUUUUCUUAUCACUACUUCGAAUUCUACCAGGAA